rnacentral:rRNA from 1 species
AGUGAACGCUGGCGGCAGGCCUAACACAUGCAAGUCGAGCGGCAGCACAGUGAGAGUUUGCUCUUGGGGGAGGAGCGGCGGGGGCGGGAGUAGUGUCCGUCAGACUCCCCGUUGUCGGGGGAGAUCUAGUGGAAACGGUUACGAUAAUCGCGUAUACGCCCAACGGCAGAGAGCGGGACAUCUUGGCCCCUUGCCCUCUUGAGUGCCCAGAUGGGAUUAGCUAGUGGGGGGGGUAAUGGCGCACCUAGGCGACGAUCCCUAGCUGGUCUGAGAGGAUGACCAGCCACACUGGAACUGAGACACGGUCCAGACUCCUACGGGAGGCAGCAGUGGGGAAUAUUGCACAAUGGGCGCAAGCCUGAUGCAGCCAUGCCGCGUGUGUGAAGAAGGCCUUCGGGUUGUAAAGCACUUUUGGUGGGAAAGAAGGUCGUCAGCUUAAUACGCUCAUCAAUUGACGUUACUCGAAGAAGAAGCACCGGCUAACUUCGUG